UCUUCCUUCAAAAGUUCUUCACUGGAUGCAAAAUGUUGACCUAAGAACGACUCCACUACCUCUGGUUAUUAUGCAGUACUGUCUAACCGCCUACAUUCAGAAACAGGUGAAUAAAGAUAAACCCUAUGACAAUUCCAGGAUUAACACUAUGAUAAUAUAUAUUUGCUUUAUUUUGAAUAGAACAGGUAGAUUAUAUUGGAGUGAAUAUGUUGUUAAAGUUGAUGAAUGAAUGGAGGUUGAUGGAAGAGCUUGCAGUGCUGCGAGCAAUAUACUUGUUAGGCUCAGGUAUUGGAUUAUUAUACUUUAUUUUGUUUUCUAUAUACAGGAUGCAGUUGAUAAACUUUGAGCUACAGGUCACACAACAACAUAGAAUAACACGAGUCGCAUAAAUUUUGCCAUAUAUAUUGUUUGGUGGACAUUGAGCAUCACAGCUCACUAAGCAAGCAAUAUAAUUGUAAAUUUACUGUAAUACCCUUUGUAAUGUAUUCUGGUACACACACAUAUAUAUCAUAAUAUGAAAGAGUGUAGUAAUUAAGUAGGAAAUAAAAUGGGUAUUUUUGUAAGUUACAUAAUUUGUUUUUGGGACGAAAGGUCGUGCUUUAGUUUUUAAUGCAAGAAGAUUUUGGAUUUGUGUUGUCCCUCGAUCGUUAUUUGGUUCUGAUGUAUGAUUUUUUUUUUUUAAAUCAAAUAUGUAACAAAUUACUUGUGUUGUUGAGUCUCUUACUUUCUUGCAAAUCAAACAAAUUCAUAGUACAUUGCAUCAUAAUUUUUUAAUAACAUUAUGUUGGGUGAGAGGCAUAUCAUAUAUUCAUAUCUUUGGCUGUAUUUUUACUUUCUUGCAAAUCAAAUGGGUACAUAGUAUAUACUGUGCUUCAAAAUAUUUUGUAAGUUUAGGUUGGGUAGGGGUCAUAUUGGUAUACUAUCAAUGUUUUCUGUAUUGAUAUUUUGUCUUGUGCAGGCGAUUUGCUACAACACUUUUCAACCGUCAUUUUCGAUAAAUUGGAUAAGGGUGAAACAUGGGAUGAUGAUUUUGAAUUAAACACAAUAUUACAGGUAGAGUUUCUUGAUUUUGUUUAAUUGUGUACUUUGGUAGUUAUUAGAAUUUGAGUCAGGCCUAUUUUUAACCCAAAAGCUAGCUCAAGAGAUGGGGAUUAUGUAAGUCCUAUAAAUAUUUUUUUGGCCAUACCUCUUGUUAAAAUGGGAUCUCAACACCCCCCUCACACCUGAGAUUGGAUAUGUGGAAAGUGAACUUUGUAGGAUUAAUAUCUAUAGGUGGCCCAAUAUUUGGACUAGGAUAGACCUUAUAUCAUAGAAUUUGGGUUAAACCUAACUCAAUUUUCAAAGUUAGCUCAAGAAAUGGAGAUUGCUUAAGACUUGUUAGAACUACUUUGCCCACAUUGGUUAUUAAAAUUGGACCAGGAAAUUACUUCCAAGUUCUAGUUUCUUGUAUCAAAUUAUAUUUAAAUUUAUUCCUAGGUUCGAGAAUUAAAGGAAUGGAUCAUAAUACAAAUGCUCCGUAAGUGAAAAAAGGCCACACCGCCAUAGUUUGUUGAUUAGUUGCAUAUGGAUAGAGUAAAUUUAUAGCGUGUAAGAAAACUACAGAGUACCUUAGACCAAGUGCAAUGGGAUAGUUGAAAGCCAAGUUCAACAUGUUGAACCAUUAGAAGAGGGUGUUGAAGAUGAGAUAAAAAUGAUGUGGAGGAGAGAGGAGUUGAAUGAGUUCAACAUUGUUGAACUUGGAGAGAGAAAUAUUUUGUGGAUAAAGUGG
rnacentral:lncRNA from 1 species